rnacentral:pre_miRNA from 1 species
UUUAGCUUCCUGCUAAACUUUAGCUAUAUGAAUUGAAGUGCUAAAGUUUAGUUUCAAUUACCACCAUUAGCUCUCAUGUUUAGAUUAUAAAUGGCUAAAAGUAGCUAAAAAAUAGCUGCUAAAGUUUAUCUCGCGAGAUUGGAACGGGGCCAUAAUCUAAACAUGAGAGCUAAUGGUGAUAAUUGAAACUAAACUUUAGCACUUCAAUUCAUAUAGCUAAAGUUUAGCAGGAAGCUAAA